rnacentral:rRNA from 1 species
AGUAGCUGAUUUCACACUGUCAAGAAAAGUCUCUAUCGAGGUUAAAGGUACCCGUACCGCAAACCGACACAGGGGGGUGAGGAGAGUAUCCUAAGGCCAGCGAGAGAACUGUUGUUAAGGAACUCGGAAAAAUGACCCCGUAACUUAGGGAUAAGGGGUGCCACCAUCAGGUGGCCGCAGAGAAUAGGCCCAAGCGACUGU